rfam:Triticum aestivum genome assembly, contig: Triticum_aestivum_CS42_TGACv1_scaffold_514722_6BS
CAAAUACUCCCUCCCUUCGGGAUUACUUGUCUCGGAAAUGGAUGUAUCUAGAACUAAAAUACGUCUAGAUACAUCUAUUUUCGAGACAAGUAAUUCCGAACGGAGGGAGUAGGAG